GAUGAACGCUGGCGGCGUGCUUAACACAUGCAAGUCGAACGAUGAAGCCCAGCUUGCUGGGUGGAUUAGUGGCGAACGGGUGAGUAACACGUGAGUAACCUGCCCUUAACUCUGGGAUAAGCCUGGGAAACUGGGUCUAAUACCGGCUAGGAGCGUCCACCGCAUGGUGGGUGUUGGAGAGAUUUAUCGGUUUUGGAUGGCCUCGAGGCCUAUCAGCUUGCUGGUGAGGUAAUGGCUCAGCAAGGGGACGCCGGGUAGCCGGCCUGAGAGGGUGACCGGCCACACGGCGACUGAGAGACGGCCCAGACUCCUACGGGAGGCAGCAGUCGAGAAUAUUGCACAAUGGGCGCAAGCCUGAGGCAGCGACGCCGCGUGAGUGAUGACGGCCUUCUGGUUGUAAACCUCUGUCAGUAUGGAAGAAGCGAAAGUGACGGUACCUGCACAAGAAGCACCGGCUAACUACGUG
rnacentral:rRNA from 1 species